rnacentral:siRNA from 1 species
AGGGUUGACUGAUUUUAUAGCCA